AUCUAAAUUAAUGUUUCCUGUAAGUCCUGCUUGAGGAAAUAGAAAUUUUCAAGUGCUCUAGAAUGAAAGCCAUUCAUGGGAGUUAAAGACCAGUGAAUCACAUCAUAAUCAACUAAAAAAGAAAUAGUCAUUGUGUGCAGAGAACAGAGAUUCAGGAGGCCAAGGCUACCUCCCAGAAAGAGGAAUGCAGGCCUGGGAAAUUAUAGGUAUCCCAUCCCAGCGGGAGGCAUUCAGUCCUAGAGACCUGUUCCUAAAGUUCUGUGUUAAAUCUCACGAUCCACCUGCCAACGACUUCCUUUGUUCAGCUACAACUUUUGAAGACUCAAGAAUAACAGCCUGAACAGCAGCCCAGACCCAUAAGGCCUCAACUCAUAAGCCUUGGAACUACCUGCCUUUCAUGCAUUGGAAGCGAACACCUGCUGGUUACCACAGAGAAGGAGGUUUCAUCCUUUCUCAGCUUUACCAUUUGAUUUUAAGCAACUAGCUGGGGAAAUUCAGAAGUUAAUGAGCCCUUCUCUUGUCCUUGGAAGAGUCACAGGAUGCAGCUGUCAGGAAGAAUGGUGUAGAAGUCUUACAGAUACUCUGGAAUCGUCAGACAGCUUUUCCUAAUGAGCUGCUUUAUUUGGGCUGAAGCAGUGGCGACCCUGAAUGUGUCAAGCAACAAAAAUAACUGCUUAAAACCAAUGUGUCUGAUGAGAAACAGCCAACGACAUUUGGUGUGAUUGCUUUAAAGGCUGGAUAUAAUUCAGGAGAGUAAGACAGAAGAAAUCCAAUCAUAGGAUUCUGAAGAGAUGACAAAAGCCCUGCUGUUCUGCUCCAAGAUGCCUUCCUGUUCCUCUGCAACUGCAGCCGCCAUUUUGGGACUAUGAAGGAAGGUCAUGCCUGAGAGGAAAUGCUCAAGAUGGCAGAGUGGGAACAUGAGAAAAUAGGAAGGCAGGAUCUUUUUUGAGGGGGUGGGCAGGAUCUCCCUAUGCAGUUCAAGCUGGUCUUAAACUCUCUUUGUAGCUGUUCUUGAACUCACUAGGAUGACACUGAUGACAUUAAAAAACUAAAUUAAGUACUUUCAAAUUUCAUUACUUAAAAUAUACAAAUUAGGGUUUUUCUCACUGGCACCCAGAAUCAAGUUAAGCUUCAACAAUAUCAUUUUACAAUAUUUUUAUCAAGAGCUAGAAGAUCCUUUAUUUAUAACUAGGAAGGGAGGCCUCUUCCCUUAGUUUCCAUUCCAAGACCUUUUCCCUGCUAGCCUGCAGCUCUAUAGGAUGUGCUACCAUCACUGAGAAAGGAAGCCUAUUCCAAGCAUUAGGCAAACUAACAGGUGUAUCAAAUAUGAAAGAGUUCAAGCAAUUAAUAGCAUUCACUAGCGAAGAAUAGACCAAAAGGGCAGGCUUGAAUAUACAGCAUUUGUUAAAUUUAUCAUUCUGGAAUGCCUAUCUAGAAUUAAUGAAUCCUUAAGGUUAUCCAAAUGAAGCAUGUAAGAGUGAAAAUGUAGGCAGUAAGAAUGGCUGCCAGAAAUGGCCAAGAUGAAAUAUAACAAAAGCAAAUGAAAGUCACAGAUUUACAUCCUAGAAAAUGCAGUGCACAAAUUUAGAAAAGAUCUAACAAGGAGCCCUAACUGGUUUUAACUGCUCUCCAAUUUGGUAUUAUAUGGCUGUCAUAAAUACGUGCUAUCUCACCUUCAUUAACUGAGCACAAAGUUCUAGGUCCAACUAGAUAUUAAAAUUAUAUGAGAACAUUUUAGAAACUAAUUAACAAAAUUCAUUUUUAAAGUACUUUUAGGUUCACAGCAAAUUGAGUAAAGAUGUUAGGAGUUCUCAUAAACGCUGCCUAGUCUCUCCGAACACACUCUCAAUCUGCCCAUUAUCAACAGUCUAACCACCCACACUAUCAGGCCUACGUCACAACUACUGAAUGUUUACACUGACAGGUCACCCUCCCCCAAUGCCCGUGGAUUACAUUAGGAUUCAUUUCUGGUGUUGUGCGUUCUAUGAGUUUUGACAGAUGUAUUGUGACAUGUACCUACAUUGCAAUACUGUACAGAGCAGUUCCAGUGUCCUAAAAUCCUGUGCUCUGCCCACUCAUUCCUCUCUCCUCCAUAAUCCCUGACAAUCACUAAUCUUCUUACUCUUUCCAUAACUUUUCCUUUUUCAGAAUGCCUACUGGUUUGACCCAUACAGUAUGCAGACUUUUCAGAUUGGUUUUUACUAAUAUGUACUUUUAGAUUUCUCCACAGCUCUUCCUACCGUUAUAGAUCAUUUCUUUUUAAUACUGAAUAAUUGUCCAUUAUCGAGAUUUUCUAAUUCAUACCUAUUAAAGGAUAUCUUAGCUUCCAAGUUUAGGUGAUGAUGAAUUAAACUGCUUCAAAAACACGUGUGCAAGUUUUUGGGUGAACAUUAAUUCUGAGUUCAUUUCGGCAAAUACAAAAGGUACAUGAUUAUAAGAUCCUAUGGUAAGAGUAUGUUUAGUUUUUUAAGUCUUUCAAAGCAAAUAUACUGAUUUAUAGUCUUACCAGCAAUGCAUAGAAUUAUCUUGUGUUUCUGUGCAGCUUUUUAAAAACAUCACCAUCUAGACCCAAAUCCAGCCCUAGUAAAUCAGAAUAUCCUGAGAAUGAACCUGGCUUUGCACAUUUUAUAAAAUUCCUCAGACAACAGCCAGUGAUGCUGGUCUAGACUCUCAAUCAAGCAAGAACUGCUGAGGUUAACUCUGAGUAGAUCUUUUAGGCAGGAUAUCAAUUAAUCCUGAGAACUGUGGUUUCAAAAAGGCAUUUAAAUGUUGAAUUGCAAUCUAGGGAAGCCAAACAGGAAGCUGUGGUAUCUUGCAAUCAAGUCACAGGAUGAGGUGAAAAAUGAGGACAUUUUAUCUAUAAGUGAAAGGACAAAACCCUUCAGGAAUAUUGUCCCUAACCUUUAUAGUAACAAACAAACAAAAAAAAAUCCCAGAAAAUCAGCACUUAAAACCUAUGUCUCAUCAAAUCCAAACCCAUAGUGACUUCUCCAAGAACAUCUCCAAAAUAAACACUAAACUCUGUCUCCAGUCUAAAUUUCAAAUGUUGUUUCCAUGAUUACCCCCAAUUCACUUCAGAAUUCACUAAUACUGAACUACUUGUUUCCUUCUAAGCCCAAAGAAUCCUGGCAACAAGCCUUACAUUAAAGCUGUUCUUUUUUAUCUAACUCCAGUUUUUCUUUUCUUCACAUCUUCCUAAACACAAACUCUAUUCCACGACCAUUCCAAAUUUUUCUUAAACACCUCAAGUCAGAUAAAUUCUCCAUCCUCAGAAGUCUCACUGCAUUUUACACUGGCUGCUGUCUUGUACUUAAUAUUUUCUUAUUUUUUACUAUGCUAGUACAUGUUUGCAGUACAUGAUACCUUCAUUCAUCUUAGGGGAGUAGGCACAUGGAUCUAACAUAUUUUAAUUGUUUUUAUUCUCUUCCCCUCCCUCCCUUGGUUCUCCAUCCCUAGAUCUAUUUCCUGUUUUCAAAAGGUUCUCUACCUGUUUCCUAUUGUCUUUCCUUUUGUUUUUUCAAAUCAUUUAUAUUUCAGGUUUCUCAUAUAAGAGAAGUUAUAUAAUAUUUAAGCUUGUGUGUCUAUUUCACUUGAAAUGAUAAUAUCAAAAAAUUAUAAUAUCAAGAUUCAUCCACUUUACUGCAAAUAAUGUAUUCCUAUUCAUGGCAAAAUAACACUCCAUUAAUUUAUAUCAUUUGCUUUAUCCAUUUGUUUAAUAUGGGUAUGUAUUAAGGAAGGCACUUUCAAGAUCCUUCUGUAAACAUGGGUUACAUUUAUCAAUGUGGUAUGAUGUCUUAGUACUUAAUAUUUUCUGCUUUGCUUUAUACAUGUAUGUGUGUUCUUUGCCUAAUAAGAAUUCUUGUGCCUCAUAUCUCCUAUCAAAUUCUAAUUUUAUUCCUUCAAGUUUCCACCAAAAUUGAAAAUAGUAGCAUAUCACAGGAAAUAGCCAAUGAGUUUGAUUAACUGAGUCCAGGAAUGGUGGCAGAUUUGAGCCACAAAGAAGUUACAUGAUUUAUCUAGGAUCAUAAAGGUAAUUUAUGUUUUAGCCAGAAUUUGCCUCAAAUAUUUUAUAGAGCUUUUCAUGUUAUAUGUUUUAAGUUAUAUCAAGAAGCAUUUUGGAUGCACUUGGAUAACAAGGAACCAACCGUAGAAGAACAUGUGGACUCUUAGGUUAAGUCUCCAAAGGGCAGGAAGAAAGCUGGGAGGAGUCUAAAAUGUUUAUUAAACUCAAAGCCUGCUGUUAUUUUGGAACAAUGUGUUGCCUCAGAUAAUUAAAGUCAAACUCAAGUACUGCAAACCAAAGCCUAUCACUGUAGUUACAAAUAUACGGCUGUCAAAGUUCACAAAUACACAGAAACCUCCAUUUCUUUUCUUUUUUUUUAGAAACCUCCAUUUCCAAUUAAGCAGAUCAUAUUAUGGAGUUGAGAACACAUUUCCUGAACAAAUCAAUCUGGAAAAUGCUGUUUGCACGCCGUCAUAUUAAAAUACAGCAAUGAAUCAUUUUAACAGCUUCUCUUUCAUGUCACACAUGGAAAAUAACAAAGGGAACCUCUUUAACCAAAAUAGAAAAAGAGACAUGAGAAGAAGAGUGUGGAAUCAGAGAAGCUGGUAGACAAACUGUAAAAAUACACAGAUUUUUGUUUUAUAGGUUACUGUUUUACCCAAAGUGGCAAUUUAUAUGAAUGACCAGCAAUAUACUUGAAGUUAACGUCAACAUUAGAAAAGCCUUCACAAUCUGUUCCAGUGAGGAAAUCAAUCAUGCUGUAAAGCUGAGAUACUCUUAAGGAAUAAUAAAUUAUGUAUAAAAUACUUUCAAUGAUUGACUUGUAAAAAUGGGUUGGGUAGUCAUGUUAUAAAGAAGCCCAAUACGUAAGGACAGCGAAUUGCAAAAAGAUAAAAUUGGGUCUGAUCAUUUUAAUGAUUCCAACUGUGCUUGUGAUAAAUUUCAUAUAAAAGCAUUGAAAACCAGACUUUUUAUAAAAGAAAGUGUCCCUUCAGUAAAAUGUGUGACCGUUUGCCAGUGACCCUGCACUGCUGU